GCACAUAUAAGUGAUGGUGGUUUGAAAUUUCACUCCAGGCAAUUUAAACCAAAUUGCAUUUGUAGAAAGGAACUAAAUUUUACCCCAAAAUAGCCUAUGAUCUAAUAGAAAGUCAUUCUAAGUUAUAGCUCAUCCUGCAUUUUUCACCACCACCCUCCAUCUGUGCAUUACUGGUGUUAUGAAUUUGGCAACACUUCAGCAGCAAGCUGUUUAUAACAAGAGAUCCCAGCAGCUAAAAGAAGCCAGUCAUUGGGAUUACUCAUAACUUGCCUUGUGAACUGCUCAAGGGAAUUUCUUGAAGAACUGUGUCAAAAUCAGCUUUAGAAAUCAUUAAUUUGAGAGCUUUCACUGAUACAUAAGAAGUGUUCCGAAAUUGUUGUUGGUCAAGUUGGUGGGCUUGGAAGGAAGACUUUUUUUGUUGGUGCUGAGAAAAUUUUCUCAUUUUGUGCAAGGAAAACAAGAGGAUACAAAAAGGCUUUUUUCCUCUCUGCAAGAAAUCUGACGCAGUGGGAAUUCAAUCACCCAGACACUAUGAAUGCUUGCAGAAGGAUACAUUCUCUCCGUGCUCACAGACAGAAAACUAAUGGAAACAAAAGUGAGAACUGGCAUGGUACCUCUGGGUUUAAGCACCAGCAUGAAGAUGAUCUUGUUGCAGUCCACACCCUUUACACAGUGAUCAUCAUGAUCCUUCUAGCGGCACUCUGGGGAGCCUGGUCAAGAACGGAUUCAUCCUUAUAGCAGCAAUAUGGCGACUUUCUUUGUCAAAUAUUUAAAGAAGUAUUUGUUUCAAUUAUCUACACUCAAGAGGUACAAAAAAGUGGUCUCAGCAUAUUUCAGUUUACUUGAUACUGCUUAAAAGGUUGCUACUUGUGGAAGGGAAUCUAUGAAACAAUUUAACAAACCAUGUACAGAACAUAAUUUUGUGAGUAACAGAGACCUGUUUGACCUGUACACAUUUAUAUUGCCCUCAGUAUGUAUAUGAAACUUUAAGCACGACAUUCUAGAAAGAGGAGUUCAACUUCUGUUUUAUUGGUCAAUGUUUUGUACAAUAUUUUGUAGCCCAGCUUUCCAUUUGUGAACUUGUCGAGUCUCUACCUCUGCUAAGUUUGCUUGUCCCAAUCCAUAGUAAAAUGUACACUGUAAGGAGGAAAUACUUUGCCAUGCCACAACAACAUAGGAAGACAUGAUCAACAAACCCAGGUAUUCUGCCAGGAUAGGAAGAUCAUUGAAAGUCAAAUUCUCAUCUCCAUUGCUGAAGAGAGUUUAUAUGGGACUUGUAUUCAUUAUUUUUAACUUAUGGCAAUGACUAUGUAAACUCAGGAAUAAAAUGAUGAAAUAAGUUGCUUUUGUGAA